GACGCAGUGGCACAGUGGUUAAGUGUGCUUGACUUGAGAUCGAAAGGUCCUGAGUGCAAGUCUUUGCCACGGCU